UCGCCAUCGCCCGCAGAGCUCCACCCAAUCCCUCGCUCGCUCGGUGAGAUCCAAGGCGGCCGCGUCGGCUGGGAGCGGACCCACGCGGGAGGAGGAGUUCGGCGAGCAUGAGCUGGAGGUGGCAGCCAUUCUCGCGGACCUGUCGUCCAUCGUGCGGGCCAGCAGCAGGAGCAGGCGCGGCCGGAGAUCCCCUCGUGGAGCCGGCGCCGGCCGAGGAAGGCCCUAGCGGCUCCGCCGGCCAAGAAGCCCGCGGCCGAUAGCCCGGACACCCGGCUCGCCUUCCUCGACGACGACGAGGCGGCGACAGCGCAGGACAAGUCGGCGCAGGAGCAGCGCGGCGAUUUUGACGAGUAGGAGAUGGAGCGCGUCACAAGCACCUUGGCUGCACCCUGAGGUUAUCCAUCAGGCAAACUGUCAUCGCACUGUCGUUCACGAUGCUGCUCCCAAGCCUCCCGACGAGAUUGACUCUUUCACAAAUCAUGUCAACGAGACUAGCAAUUUGAAGAGGCUGCUGCACAUGAUAUGAAGAUAUUGGCAUAUACAGUCCCAAACAUAAGUUUCAAAAUAGCAGGUGUGGAGUUUAGCCAUGUUCCGCUGUAUGGAAAGCCAUGACCUCCACACAGAUGAUGCAAGAGGAAACAAGCUAGACUCACAACUUUGGUUUUCAGGCAUCUUCACCAACAAAUAUUACCCUGGCACUGACAGGUUGUUAGUAUUAUAUAAGUAUACUUGUUCAGCCUGUGCUGGUCUGAAUAUCUAAACAAGGAAGCAGGCUCAGUUGCUCACCAACCUACUAUUGCUGCCAACAAGUAGCCAGAAGCCCAUAGAAGACAUUUGCAUUGAUCACAGAAAAAUGAAGUAUUGAAUUUGUAGGACAUUGUCAUCCUAAUCUGGUUCCCACAUAUUCAAGAUGUGGAGAUUAGAUCUUUGCUCCAACAAAGCCAUGACCUUCAAUUUUGUUGUUAAUUUAACAGCUGUUUUGAUUGUGCCGAUCGAUCGGCUUAUAAGAGCCAAUUUGGUUUCUUGUGAACUAGAGCAUCCUAUUUUUCAUGAUUA